UCCAUGUCAAAUAAGAUCUUGAAUAUUCAUGCAAUUAACUCAAAUAACAAGGCCAACCACCAAAAUAUGUGGUACAGGGUGAAAUAUAUGCAAUUACAUGUGUAAAACAUUAUUAAGAAAAUGCUAUCAUUUGGGAAAGAUCGUCCUCAACAACCACUCUUUUUAGCAUGCUAUUCUUGGCCUUUAUUUGGUGAUUCCUUAUGAAGCUUCAAUAUAUCAAGCAAUUUAUGCCUUUUCAUAGGUGCAAGGAGCCGUCAUGUUGGAAGCCACGAACUUCAGCCUAAAUCAAAGCAUCACUUGUUAGAGUGUUUAAAGGAGAAAAUGAGAGGGCAAGUGAAAUCAAAGCAUAGACUUUCCAGAGACAUUUGUCUUAUAUUUGAACGAAUAGCCUAAAAAUUAAAUCGGAAUCAAAACCAGAGAGGCAUAAGGUAGGUGUAGUUUGUCAUCUAUGCAGUCAACUACUCCUCCAUUUUUCUAGUAGCUCCAGUUCCAAUCUUU
rnacentral:lncRNA from 1 species